AAGUGCCAAAGUCCUUCCCUUUACUACUCCAGAAGAUGAGGACAGAACUCCUUGGAAACUGGUGCCGGAAUGUAAGACUUAGGAGCUAAGCACUCUGCAUCUCCAGAACUGCUUCUUUUCCUCUUCCCUGUUUUGCUUUCAGGGUUUGGACCUACCUACCUCAAUAGCUUUUGCUGCUUGCUCUUUUGUUUCAAAUUCCACAAAGGCAAAUCC